rnacentral:rRNA from 1 species
AGAGUUUGAUCCUGGCUCAGGACGAACGCUGGCGGUGCGCCUUAUGCAUGCAAGUUGAGCGAAGCUUUUCAGUAGUUUACUACAGAAAAUGACUGAGCGGCGAACGGGUGAGUAACGCGUGAGCAAUCUACCUUAGUUACUGGGAUAGCCCGAGGAAACUCGGAUUAAUACCGGAUAUUCUUAUUUUUUCACAUGAAGUUUUAAGGAAAGGUCAGCCGAACUAAGAUGAGCUCGCGUUCUAUCAGCUAGUUGGUGGGGUAAAAGCCUACCAAGGCAACGACGGAUAGCUGGUCUGAGAGGACGAUCAGCCACACUGGGACUGAGACACGGCCCAGACUCCUACGGGAGGCUGCAGCAGGGAAUAUUGUGCAAUGAGCGAAAGCUUGACACAGCGACACCGCGUGUGGGAUGACGGUUCUAGGAUUGUAAACCACUUUCAGGAGGGAAGAAAAUGACGGUACCUCCACAAGAAGACCCGGCCAACUAUGUGCCAGCAGCCGCGGU